rnacentral:tRNA from 1 species
CGUCCCCUAGGGGAUUCGAACCCCUGUUGCCGAGAUGAAAACCCGGUGUUCCUAACCACUAGACGAAGGGGAC